rnacentral:lncRNA from 1 species
AAGAAGGAAGAGACAGACAGACAGAAAUCUCACAUCUCUGACUGGUUAACACCCAAAAUGCCUACAAUGGCUGGGACUAGCAGAACAAAGCCAGAAGCCAGAAACUCAGCUUUGCCUACCACGUUCUAGAGUGUGAAUUCGUAGGAAACUGGAAUUACAAUCAGAGCCAGGACUUGAACCUAGGCAUUGAUAUAGAAUGUGGAUGCCCCAGGAAGUGUCUUAAUUGCUAGGACAAAUAUGUGUUCCUUCACCUUCUUUAAGAGUUAUAUAUUUCUAUUUUCUUAUCUUUCUCUGAUGCCUAUUAUUGUUAGAUUUCUACAUACAAUAGUUGCUAUAUGGGCUUGCUUAAAAACAGUAAAGUUCUUGACAAAUGUUUGUUAAGUUCCUUAUUUUUGGAAUGUCUUUGUAUAAAAAUAUGACCAAAUUGUUACAAUGAGACAAUGAAACAAUUUGUUAUUCGUUUUGGCAUGUUAUUAUAGAAUUACUGCUCCAAGCUGAAAUAUGCAAUUAUGUUAAGGAAGUAUUUUCUGCAAGGAAAAUAACAGUAGCUUGCCCAUACUGAAUAUUUUACAGUAAAAACAAAGUAACACUACAUCAAGAAAAAGGUGAUAAAGUUUGUGUCAUGCACAACUGAAUUCAAAUUUGCCUGGAAAAUUUAAAAUGGAAUCUGACCAGAAAAAGAGGUGACAUGAAUGACAUUGAUUCUGAAAGAAAAAUGACAGCUGUGAACCCCAGAUGUGUGCUGAGGAACUGCAUGGCUGAGUCUGCUUUGCAAAAAGAAGAAAGGAAUGAUUUUUCAGAGCUCUGUCUCCCACAGCAAGUUCUCCAGUGCCCAUUCCAGACGCAGUCUGCAGCUGAGAAAAUGAAUCCUGCCCAAGAGAAAGAUUUCAUCUCUAACUCAUUCAGCAGCAGGAAGCCCGGGAACCGAGGUAGAAUGAUUCUGAUUUGCAGGAGCAGAGCAGGGGGCUCUGAAAGUUUUCUCAGGCUCCACACAGGAACACUUCAAAGUACAGAUUCUUAUGUGGAAAUGGUUGGCAGCCAUGGAGUAGACCCUCACACUAUUGAAGGCCAGAAGAAUUCCUGUGUUUAGGAGUGAAGAUGUGUAGGGGGCACCAUGUCACUCAACCACAAUGUACUGAGGGAAAAGUGAUAACUUUAAAAUAAAGAUAAUUCAAGCUCAUUGUUGAAAGUCUGG